rnacentral:hammerhead_ribozyme from 1 species
AUCCAGAUGACGCAUCUCAAACAGGACGAAAUGUGCAUACUGGAU